rnacentral:rRNA from 1 species
GCGUAGGGUGCGAGCGUUAAUCGGAAUUACUGGGCGUAAAGCGUGCGCAGGCGGUUUUGUAAGCCAGAUGUGAAAGCCCCGGGCUCAACCUGGGAACUGCAUUUGUGGCUGCAUAGCUGGAGUGCGGCAGAGGGGGAUGGAAUUCCGCGUGUAGCAGUGAAAUGCGUAGAUAUGCGGAGGAACACCGAUGGCGAAGGCAAUCCCCUGGGCCUGCACUGACGCUCAUGCACGAAAGCGUGGGGAGCAAACAGGA